UANGUUGUUUGAUCAUGGCUCAGAGUGAACGCUGGCGGUAGGCCUAACACAUGCAAAGUCUGAACGGCAGCACAGGAGAGCUUGCUCUCUGGGUGGCGAGUGGCGGACGGGUGAGNGAAUACAUCGGAAUCUACUCUGCCGUGGGGGAUAACGUAGGGAAACUUACGCUAAUACCGCAUACGACCUACGGGUGAAAGCAUGGGUGAUCUUCGGACCUUGACGCGAUUGAAUGAGCCUGAUGUCGGAUUAAGCUAGUUUG
rnacentral:rRNA from 1 species